CCCUCCCUUCUCCACGCCCCCCCAACCCCCCCCCCCCGUCAAGUCUUUGGCAUCAUUAUCCUCAUCACUAAAUCCUGCAGAGUACUGGGCGGAAAACGGUGCACAC
rfam:Rattus norvegicus chromosome 3, whole genome shotgun sequence.